rnacentral:rRNA from 1 species
AGUGAACGCUGGCGAUAGGCCUAACACAUGCAAGUCGAACGGCAGCACAGUAAGAGCUUGCUCUUACGGGUGGCGAGUGGCGGACGGGUGAGGAAUACAUCGGAAUCUACUUUUUCGUGGGGGAUAACGUAGGGAAACUUACGCUAAUACCGCAUACGACCUACGGGUGAAAGCAGGGGAUCUUCGGACCUUGCGCGAUUGAAUGAGCCGAUGUCGGAUUAGCUAGUUGGCGGGGUAAAGGCCCACCAAGGCGACGAUCCGUAGCUGGUCUGAGAGGAUGAUCAGCCACACUGGAACUGAGACACGGUCCAGACUCCUAAGGGAGGCAGCAGUGGGGAAUAUUAGACAAUGGGCGCAAGCCUGAUCCAGCCAUACCGCGUGGGUGAAGAAGGCCUUCGGGUUGUAAAGCCCUUUUGUUGGGAAAGAAAAGCAGCAGGUUAAUACCCCGCUGUUCUGACGGUACCCAAAGAAUAAGCACCGGCUAACUUCGUG